AGAUUAAGUUAUUAAGGGCGCACGGUGGAUGCCUUGGCACUAGAAGCCGAAGAAGGACGUUACUAACGACGAUAUGCUUUGGGUAGCUGUAAGUAAGCGUUGAUCCAGAGAUUUCCGAAUGGGGGAACCCAACAUGAGUUAUGUCAUGUUAUCGACAUGUGAAUUCAUAGCAUGUCAGAAGGCAGACCCGGAGAACUGAAACAUCUUAGUACCCGGAGGAAGAGAAAGAAAAAUCGAUUCCCUGAGUAGCGGCGAGCGAAACGGGAAGAGCCCAAACCAACAAGCUUGCUUGUUGGGGUUGUAGGACACUCUAUACGGAGUUACAAAAGAACAUGUUAGACGAAUCAUCUGGAAAGAUGAAUCAAAGAAGGUAAUAAUCCUGUAGUCGAAAACAUAUUCUCUCUUGAGUGGAUCCUGAGUACGACGGAGCACGUGAAAUUCCGUCGGAAUCUAGGAGGACCAUCUCCUAAGGCUAAAUACUCUCUAGUGACCGAUAGUGAACCAGUACCGUGAGGGAAAGGUGAAAAGUACCCCGGAAGGGGAGUGAAAGAGAACUUGAAACCGUGUGCUUACAAGUAGUCAGAGCCCGUUUAUGGGUGAUGGCGUGCCUUUUGUAGAAUGAACCGGCGAGUUACGAUCUGAUGCAAGGUUAAGCAGCGAAUGUGGAGCCGUAGCGAAAGCGAGUCUGAAUAGGGCGUUGAGUAUUUGGUCGUAGACCCGAAACCAGGUGAUCUACCCUUGGUCAGGUUGAAGUUCAGGUAACACUGAAUGGAGGACCGAACCGACUUACGUUGAAAAGUGAGCGGAUGAACUGAGGGUAGCGGAGAAAUUCCAAUCGAACUUGGAGAUAGCUGGUUCUCUCCGAAAUAGCUUUAGGGCUAGCCUCAAGUGAUGAUUAUUGGAGGUAGAGCACUGUUUGGACGAGGGGCCCCUCUCGGGUUACCGAAUUCAGACAAACUCCGAAUGCCAAUCAAUUUAACUUGGGAGUCAGAACAUGGGUGAUAAGGUCCGUGUUCGAAAGGGAAACAGCCCAGACCACCAGCUAAGGUCCCAAAAUAUAUGUUAAGUGGAAAAGGAUGUGGCGUUGCCCAGACAACUAGGAUGUUGGCUUAGAAGCAGCCAUCAUUUAAAGAGUGCGUAAUAGCUCACUAGUCGAGUGACACUGCGCCGAAAAUGUACCGGGGCUAAACAUAUUACCGAAGCUGUGGAUUGUCCUUCGGACAAUGGUAGGAGAGCGUUCUAAGGGCGUUGAAGCAUGAUCGCAAGGACAUGUGGAGCGCUUAGAAGUGAGAAUGCCGGUGUGAGUAGCGAAAGACGGGUGAGAAUCCCGUCCACCGAUUGACUAAGGUUUCCAGAGGAAGGCUCGUCCGCUCUGGGUUAGUCGGGUCCUAAGCUGAGGCCGACAGGCGUAGGCGAUGGAUAACAGGUUGAUAUUCCUGUACCACCUAGUAUCGUUUUAAUCGAUGGGGGGACGCAGUAGGAUAGGCGAAGCGUGCUGUUGGAGUGCACGUCCAAGCAGUAAGGCUGAGUGUUAGGCAAAUCCGGCACUCGUUAGGCUGAGCUGUGAUGGGGAGAGGAAAUUGUUUCCUCGAGUCGUUGAUUUCACACUGCCGAGAAAAGCCUCUAGAUAGAUAACAGGUGCCCGUACCGCAAACCGACACAGGUAGUCAAGAUGAGAAUUCUAAGGUGAGCGAGCGAACUCUCGUUAAGGAACUCGGCAAAAUGACCCCGUAACUUCGGGAGAAGGGGUGCUCUUUAGGGUUCACGCCCAGAAGAGCCGCAGUGAAUAGGCCCAAGCGACUGUUUAUCAAAAACACAGGUCUCUGCUAAACCGUAAGGUGAUGUAUAGGGGCUGACGCCUGCCCGGUGCUGGAAGGUUAAGAGGAGUGGUUAGCUUCUGCGAAGCCACGAAUCGAAGCCCCAGUAAACGGCGGCCGUAACUAUAACGGUCCUAAGGUAGCGAAAUUCCUUGU
rnacentral:rRNA from 1 species